rnacentral:rRNA from 1 species
ACACUCCUACGGGAGGCAGCAGUGGGGAAUAUUGGACAAUGGGCGCAAGCCUGAUCCAGCCAUGCCGCGUGAGUGAUGAAGGCCCUAGGGUUGUAAAGCUCUUUCACCGGUGAAGAUAAUGACGGUAACCGGAGAAGAAGCCCCGGCUAACUUCGUGCCAGCAGCCGCGGUAAUACGACGGGGGCUAGCGUUGUUCGGAUUUACUGGGCGUAAAGCGCACGUAGGCGGACUAUUAAGUCAGGGGUGAAAUCCCGGGGCUCAACCCCGGAACUGCCUUUGAUACUGGUAGUCUUGAGUUCGAGAGAGGUGAGUGGAAUUCCGAGUGUAGAGGUGAAAUUCGUAGAUAUUCGGAGGAACACCAGUGGCGAAGGCGGCUCACUGGCUCGAUACUGACGCUGAGGUGCGAAAGCGUGGGGAGCAAACAGGAUUAGAAACCCGUGUAGUCCCAUGA